rnacentral:rRNA from 1 species
CACGUAGGGGGCGAGCGUUGUCCGGAUUCAUUGGGCGUAAAGGGCGCGCAGGCGGCCCGGAAAGUCGGAUGUGAAAACUCGAGGCUCAACCUCGAGCGUGCACCCGAUACUGCCGGGCUUGAGGCAGGUAGGGGAGAUCGGAAUUCCUGGUGUAGCGGUGAAAUGCGCAGAUAUCAGGAGGAACACCGGUGGCGAAGGCGGGUCUCUGGACAGUUCCUGACACUGAGGCACGAAGGCCAGGGGAGCAAACGGG